rnacentral:tRNA from 1 species
AGGGUUGUGGCUCAGUGGUAGAGUGCUCUCCAAGCAUGUGUGAGGCACUGGGUUCGAUCCUCAGCAACACAA